CCUACGGGAGGCAGCAGUGGGGAAUAUUGCACAAUGGGCGGAACCCUGAUGCAGCGACGCCGCGUGGGUGAAGAAGCGCCUCGGCGCGUAAAGCCCUGUCAGCAGGGAAGAAAAUGAGGGUACCUGACUAAGAAGCCCCGGCUAACUACGUGCCAGCAGCCCCGGUAAUACGCCGGGGGCACGCGUUAUCAGGAUUUACUGGGUGUAAAGGGGGCGCAGACGGCGAUGCAAGCCAGGAGUGAAAGCCCGGGGCGCAACCCCGGGACUGCGCUUGGAACUGCGUGGCUGGAGUGCAGGAGGGGCAGGCGGAAUGCCUGGUGUAGCGGUGAAAUGCGUAGAUAUCAGGAGGAACACCGGUGGCGAAGGCGGCCUGCUGGACUGCAACUGACGUUGAGGCCCGAAAGCGUGGGGAGCAAACAGGAUUAGAUACCCCUGUAGUC
rnacentral:rRNA from 1 species